CACAGGAGAGACACCUCGUAGCUGUAAUCAAUGUGGGAAGAGUUUUACUCAGCCAAACGUCCUGCUAUCACACCAGAGAACACAGGAGAGACACCUCGUAGCUGUAAUCAAUGUGGGAAGAGUUUUACUCAGCCAAACGUCCUGCUAUCACACCAGAGAACACAGGAGAGACACCUCGUAGCUGUAAUCAAUGUGGGAAGAGUUUUACUCAGCCAAACGUCCUGCUAUCACACCAGAGAACACAGGAGAGACACCUCGUAGCUGUGAUCGAUGUGGAAAGAGAGACGCUGGUAAAGUAUCUCUGAUUAAACAUCAGAGAAAAUACAUGUAUGAAGGAGUUGUUUCACGACAUUAAUAGGAUGAUGUCACAAUGUAGAAUGUUUUAACAUUGUAGUAGGAGUGUUCUAAUGAUGUCACAAUGUAGAAUGUUUUAACAUUGUAGUAGGAGUGUUCUAAUGAUGUCACAAUGUAGAAUGUUUUAACAUUGUAGUAGGAGUAUUCUAAUGAUGUCACAAUGUAGAAUGUUUUAACAUUGUAGUAGGAGUGUUCUAAUGAUGUCACAAUGUAGAAUGUUUUAACAUUGUAGUAGGAUUGUUCUAAUGAUGUCACAAUGUAGAAUGUUUUAACAUUGUAGUAGGAGUGUUCUAAUGAUGUCACAAUGUAGAAUGUUUUAACAUUGUAGUAGGAGUGUUCUAAUGAUGUCACAAUGUAGAAUGUUUUAACAUUGUAGUAGGAGUGUUCUAAUGAUGUCACAAUGUAGAAUGUUUUAACAUUGUAGUAGGAGUGUUCUAAUGAUGUCACAAUGUAGAAUGUUUUAACAUUGUAGUAGGAGUGUUUUAAUGAUGUCACAAUGUAGAAUGUUUUAACAUUGUAGUAGGAGUGUUCUAAUGAUGUCACAAUGUAGAAUGUUUUAACAUUGUAGUAGGAGUGUUCUAAUGAUGUCACAAUGUAGAAUGUUUUAACAUUGUAGUAGGAGUAUUUUAAUGAUGUCACAAUGUAGAAUGUUUUAACAUUGUAGUAGGAGUGUUCUAAUGAUGUCACAAUGUAGAAUGUUUUAACAUUGUAGUAGGAGUAUUUUAAUGAUGUCAUAAUGUAGAAUGUUUUAACAUUGUAGUAGGAGUAUUUGAAUGAUGUCACAAUGUAGAAUGUUUUAACAUUGUAGUAGGAGUAUUUGAAUGAUGUCACAAUGUAGAACCCUAAACGUUUGCCCCCUGAUCUAUUGAUUUCAACAUGACAUGGAUAUUAGCCUCAUUAGGGGGAAAAUCCAGGCUCUGAAAUGAAAGAGUCCUAUUUAGUUGAUUAACAAAAAGUGUUGCGUUACACUUCUCGUCGGUGAUCCACCUGAAUCAAAAUGCAUCUCUUCAAAAUGUAGCUAGCUAUUUUCUACAAAUUGUCCUCUAACCAGGGAUGUACACAUUAUUCCCAUAUUCCGUGUGGAGUUUUAGCUGUUCGUUUUAACGGGACGUGAAACCUCAUCUCCGCCCUCUCGCGCAAUUGAUUUCAACUUGAUAUCGAAAUGAGUGAUGACAAAAAUGUGUUGCGUUUCUCUUAGUUUUAGCGACCCCCACAUUUACAUAUUCUAAAUUUAAAUGCAUCACUCCAAAAUGUAGCUAACUGUCUUCUGCAGGUUGUCCUCUAACCAGUGAGGUAAAAUAUAUCUCCCAUUUCCAUGUUUUGUUUAAUAGUUGUGUUAGUUUUAACAGCACCUACAACCUGAUUUCCCCCCUAAUCGAUAUCAGUGAUGUAUUGUUGUUGUUUAUCAUGUAGCAUUUAGUAAUCAUAAUUAUUUAUGCAACCAACUGACAUUUUUUUUGUUUACUAACAAUGUAGUAAGUAAAACUAGCUUAUAUUUCUGGUUGGAUAUUACAUCCUAUUCUUGCCAUUUUAGUCAUUUCCUUAGAAUGAUCAUUAGUCUUUCAGUUUUUAUUGUUAUUCCUAAUGUUUGUUGUGGUGUAAAUAUUUAGUGUAGUUUUUAUUUUCAUCGUUUUUAUUUGUGUGUUUUUUUUCCUGUGAAUCCAUUGCGUUGCAUCCAUGUCUGAAAUGUGCUGUAUCAAUAAAGCUUGAUUUGAA